rnacentral:rRNA from 1 species
GACGAACGCUGGCGGCGUGCUUAACACAUGCAAGUGGUGCGACGAACCAGGGCUUGCCCUGGGGCAGAGCCGCGAACGGGUGAGUAACACGUGGGUAACGUGCCCCGGUGACUGGGACAACCCGGGGAAACCCGGGCUAAUACCGGAUGUGCUCCCUCACCUCGGUGAGACGAGCAAAGGAAGCUUCGGCCUCCGCGUUGGGAUCGGCCCGCGGCCCAUUAGCUUGUUGGUGAGGUAACGGCUCACCAAGGCUGCGAUGGGUAGCUGGUCUGAGAGGACGAUCAGCCACACUGGGACUGAGACACGGCCCAGACUCCUACGGGAGGCAGCAGUGGGGAAUCUUGCGCAAUGCGCGACAGCGUGACGCAGCAA